rnacentral:rRNA from 1 species
AGAUUAAGUUAUUAAGGGCGCACGGUGGAUGCCUUGGCACUAGAAGCCGAUGAAGGACGUUACUAACGACGAUAUGCUUUGGGGAGCUGUAAGUAAGCUUUGAUCCAGAGAUUUCCGAAUGGGGAAACCCAGCAUGAGUUAUGUCAUGUUAUCGAUAUGUGAAUACAUAGCAUAUCAGAAGGCACACCCGGAGAACUGAAACAUCUUAGUACCCGGAGGAAGAGAAAGAAAAUUCGAUUCCCUUAGUAGCGGCGAGCGAAACGGGAAGAGCCCAAACCAACAAGCUUGCUUGUUGGGGUUGUAGGACACUCUAUACGGAGUUACAAAGGACGACAUUAGACGAAUCAUCUGGAAAGAUGAAUCAAAGAAGGUAAUAAUCCUGUAGUCGAAAAUGUUGUCUCUCUUGAGUGGAUCCUGAGUACGACGGAGCACGUGAAAUUCCGUCGGAAUCUGGGAGGACCAUCUCCUAAGGCUAAAUACUCUCUAGUGACCGAUAGUGAACCAGUACCGUGAGGGAAAGGUGAAAAGCACCCCGGAAGGGGAGUGAAAUAGAACCUGAAACCGUGUGCUUACAAGUAGUCAGAGCCCGUUAAUGGGUGAUGGCGUGCCUUUUGUAGAAUGAACCGGCGAGUUACGAUUUGAUGCAAGGUUAAGCAGUAAAUGUGGAGCCGUAGCGAAAGCGAGUCUGAAUAGGGCGUUUAGUAUUUGGUCGUAGACCCGAAACCAGGUGAUCUACCCUUGGUCAGGUUGAAGUUCAGGUAACACUGAAUGGAGGACCGAACCGACUUACGUUGAAAAGUGAGCGGAUGAACUGAGGGUAGCGGAGAAAUUCCAAUCGAACCUGGAGAUAGCUGGUUCUCUCCGAAAUAGCUUUAGGGCUAGCCUCAAGUGAUGAUUAUUGGAGGUAGAGCACUGUUUGGACGAGGGGCCCCUCUCGGGUUACCGAAUUCAGACAAACUCCGAAUGCCAAUUAAUUUAACUUGGGAGUCAGAACAUGGGUGAUAAGGUCCGUGUUCGAAAGGGAAACAGCCCAGACCACCAGCUAAGGUCCCAAAAUAUAUGUUAAGUGGAAAAGGAUGUGGCGUUGCCCAGACAACUAGGAUGUUGGCUUAGAAGCAGCCAUCAUUUAAAGAGUGCGUAAUAGCUCACUAGUCGAGUGACACUGCGCCGAAAAUGUACCGGGGCUAAACAUAUUACCGAAGCUGUGGAUUGUCCUUUGGACAAUGGUAGGAGAGCGUUCUAAGGGCGUUGAAGCAUGAUCGUAAGGACAUGUGGAGCGCUUAGAAGUGAGAAUGCCGGUGUGAGUAGCGAAAGACGGGUGAGAAUCCCGUCCACCGAUUGACUAAGGUUUCCAGAGGAAGGCUCGUCCGCUCUGGGUUAGUCGGGUCCUAAGCUGAGGCCGACAGGCGUAGGCGAUGGAUAACAGGUUGAUAUUCCUGUACCACCUAUAAUCGUUUUAAUCGAUGGGGGGACGCAGUAGGAUAGGCGAAGCGUGCGAUUGGAUUGCACGUCUAAGCAGUAAGGCUGAGUAUUAGGCAAAUCCGGUACUCGUUAAGGCUGAGCUGUGAUGGGGAGAAGACAUUGUGUCUUCGAGUCGUUGAUUUCACACUGCCGAGAAAAGCCUCUAGAUAGAAAAUAGGUGCCCGUACCGCAAACCGACACAGGUAGUCAAGAUGAGAAUUCUAAGGUGAGCGAGCGAACUCUCGUUAAGGAACUCGGCAAAAUGACCCCGUAACUUCGGGAGAAGGGGUGCUCUUUAGGGUUAACGCCCAGAAGAGCCGCAGUGAAUAGGCCCAAGCGACUGUUUAUCAAAAACACAGGUCUCUGCUAAACCGUAAGGUGAUGUAUAGGGGCUGACGCCUGCCCGGUGCUGGAAGGUUAAGAGGAGUGGUUAGCUUCUGCGAAGCUACGAAUCGAAGCCCCAGUAAACGGCGGCCGUAACUAUAACGGUCCUAAGGUAGCGAAAUUCCUUGUCGGGUAAGUUCCGACCCGCACGAAAGGCGUAACGAUUUGGGCACUGUCUCAACGAGAGACUCGGUGAAAUCAUAGUACCUGUGAAGAUGCAGGUUACCCGCGACAGGACGGAAAGACCCCGUGGAGCUUUACUGUAGCCUGAUAUUGAAAUUCGGCACAGCUUGUACAGGAUAGGUAGGAGCCUUUGAAACGUGAGCGCUAGCUUACGUGGAGGCGCUGGUGGGAUACUACCCUAGCUGUGUUGGCUUUCUAACCCGCACCACUUAUCGUGGUGGGAGACAGUGUCAGGCGGGCAGUUUGACUGGGGCGGUCGCCUCCUAAAAGGUAACGGAGGCGCUCAAAGGUUCCCUCAGAAUGGUUGGAAAUCAUUCAUAGAGUGUAAAGGCAUAAGGGAGCUUGACUGCGAGACCUACAAGUCGAGCAGGGUCGAAAGACGGACUUAGUGAUCCGGUGGUUCCGCAUGGAAGGGCCAUCGCUCAACGGAUAAAAGCUACCCCGGGGAUAACAGGCUUAUCUCCCCCAAGAGUUCACAUCGACGGGGAGGUUUGGCACCUCGAUGUCGGCUCAUCGCAUCCUGGGGCUGUAGUCGGUCCCAAGGGUUGGGCUGUUCGCCCAUUAAAGCGGUACGCGAGCUGGGUUCAGAACGUCGUGAGACAGUUCGGUCCCUAUCCGUCGUGGGCGUAGGAAAUUUGAGAGGAGCUGUCCUUAGUACGAGAGGACCGGGAUGGACAUACCUCUGGUGUACCAGUUGUCGUGCCAACGGCAUAGCUGGGUAGCUAUGUGUGGACGGGAUAAGUGCUGAAAGCAUCUAAGCAUGAAGCCCCCCUCAAGAUGAGAUUUCCCAACUUCGGUUAUAAGAUCCCUCAAAGAUGAUGAGGUUAAUAGGUUCGAGGUGGAAGCAUGGUGACAUGUGGAGCUGACGAAUACUAAUCGAUCGAAGACUUAAUCAA